rnacentral:rRNA from 1 species
UCCGGUUGAUCCCGCCGGAGGUUACUGCUAUCGAGGUUCGACUAAGCCAUGCGAGUCGAAUGUAGCAAUACAUGGCGUACUGCUCAGUAACACGUGGACAACCUACCCUCCGGACGGGUAUAAACCCGGGAAACUGGGUAUAAUCCCCGAUAGAUCUCGGUCGCUGGAAUGCCCCGAGAUCGAAAGCUCCGGCGCCAGAGGAUGGGUCUGCGGCCUAUCAGGUAGUAGUGGGUGUAGCGUACCUACUAGCCUACGACGGGUACGGGUUGUGAGAGCAAGAGCCCGGAGAUGGAUUCUGAGACACGAAUCCAGGCCCUACGGGGUGCAGCAGGCGCGAAAACUUUACAAUGCCGGCAACGGCGAUAAGGGGACCUCGAGUGCCAGGUUACAAAUCUGGCUAUCGUGAUGCCUAAAAAGCAUUGCAUAGCAAGGGCCGGGCAAGACCGGUGCCAGCCGCCGCGGUAACACCGGCGGCUCGAGUGGUAACCGUUAUUAUUGGGUCUAAAGGGUCUGUAGCCGGCCGGAUAAGUCUCUUGAGAAAUCCAGCAGCUCAACUGUUGGGCUUUCAGGAGAUACUGUUCGGCUCGAGGCCGGGAGAGGUGAGAGGUACUUCAGGGGUAGGGGUGAAAUCUUGUAAUCCUUGAAGGACCACCAGUGGCGAAGGCGUCUCACCAGAACGGACCUGACGGCAAGGGACGAAAGCUAGGGGCACGAACCGGAUUAGAUACCCGGGUAGUCCUAGCCGUAAACGAUACUCGCUAGGUGUCGGCCACGGUGCGACCGUUGUCGGUGCCGUAGGGAAGCCGUGAAGCGAGCCACCUGGGAAGUACGGCCGCAAGGCUGAAACUUAAAGGAAUUGGCGGGGGAGCACCACAACGGGUGGAGCUUGCGGUUUAAUUGGAUUCAACGCCGGG